ACUUAUAAUUUGAGUUGCGAGCGUUGCGGUUGCACUUUUUCACUCGGCUUUGGUUUAGGUUACAAUAAUUGUUUUUAAUUUCGAUUCUACUGAUAAAUAAAAGUGGUUUCACCCGUGAAUUGUUUGAAAUAGAGAAAAGCAAAUAAGUGUGUGAGUUAGUUAAUGGUAAAUAAACCUAUAGCAUUGUUUUUUUUAUUUGGUGUUGCCUUCUGUCAGGCAGUUGGCUGAGGCCCAUAAAUAGCAUUGAUUUAUUUUCAACGACACAUUUUGAAGCAAGAAUAUCGACGGCUUACAAAAUAGUCCUUGCUCCAAUCAGUUUCGAUUACGUAUUAUGUUUCUGUAGCAUCCCCUGAACGGUGAAAUCCCGGUGGAAGCAUUCAUCAAGCAUAUAAACGAUUGAAAGGGACCAUCACUAAAAGGCAAGAUAGGGAAUUACUUCGUACUACCUGUUGAAGAAGCCUGAAGUGUGGUGAUAUUUUAAUAAAAUAUCCCCACUAUAAAAAGGAGCUCGGAUAUCAACUGAUCGAUGAAGAUUACCGUGAUUUAGGAUACAAAGAAAUAAGAGCUAACUGGAAAAAUAUAAUCGACAAAUUAUGGACGUAUGUCAUAUUGAAAGUUCGAAGCCAGAACUCUUGUUGUGCUGGAAUUUAUGAAUCGUUCAAAUCAAUCUGAAGAUGCUCUCAUUUGUUGCUUUUUAAUUCAACUCACUAGGCUUUACACAAAAGCCUAGUAAAGUUACAAAGAUCAUGAGACCAGCAAUUCUAACCGCACAAGAGGAUGCGCUAAUGUGUGCUGGUAAUCUAGACUCUGCGCAUGAGUCCAAUUGUCGACUUCAGGAGUUUAUCAAGGAGAACGUCUUUCUUUUAAAAAGGGUUAGAUUCCUCGAGUUAUCUUAACCGACGUGCAAAGGUCCUUUUCGCAUUCGAAAGGCUUAAACACGCAAGGGACAACCUCUGAAAUCUAACGUUCGGAUCAAGAAAGAUCUACGCGAGUUCGAUUUUGCUAGUGGUAUGAUUUUAUUUGGUAGCAAAUCGGGUAUAUAUACAAAAUUUACAAAUUCGAAUCUUAUGAACUAUGCCUACGUAUGGAAGAGAAAAUGAGAGAGAAGAUUCUCCGAAUCUUCGUAAGGGAACAAAUAAGAACGCGACAGAAUUUCCAUUUGCCUAGUCAGGUCAAAUUUGCCUUCCCCUAAUCCGGUACCUGAACGGGAAAAAGGUUUCGAACGUUAUCGGCUUUCUUUACACACGCCUACGACAACAUUCAUUCAGAUAGUUACAAUGUUUACAAAGCGCCGGAUUUGCAUUCCCUAUUUCCCUACUUAAGAUGAUAAUGCGUACGCAGACGCGCCGGCUGAUAAUAGGACUUAUCGCCCUUUUCUUUGAGCAUUACUCGUCCAUAAUUCGCAUAGUCAUUGACGCUGGCUAAACCUAACAGACUAAGAAAACAGAACAGAAAAUAGACCGCUUACGAUUAGUGGCCUCGCACGGAUCUAGAAAUUCUAUACCUGCUUCUAAUCUAGCACCCGCACGAAGGGUCGGUCGGGGAUUAUUUAUGUAGCAAUCUCCUCUAUGACGGGAACCUAUUUGCGAUUAUUAAAUCUAUUCUAAUUCCUUUUAUAAGAACAAUAAUUAAUGAGUUGCUGAAUGACUAUAUUGUCAAGUUCUAAAUAAUGCGUUUGCUACAUUCUGGGCCCCAUAAAUCUACUAAGAUUUAUCAAAAAACUAUUACGCAUUAUUUCAAAAUUAUACAUCUUCUCAAAGUUAACAUAUUGCAUUUACGGUUCAAAUAAAUUACUAACAUAUUACUACACUUCAUCUUCUGUGGUGUGUUUCGCAGCCGUGUAGCGUCUUCUGGCGGUCUCCUUAAUUCACGAUUAGCCAUGACUGUAUCUAACGUAGAUAUACAUUGCUGCUAUCGCUAUUUUCAGUGGCAGUAUCGUAGGCUUCCCAAUCGAGACAAAUAGUUGAAUGUUGUGGACAGUUUUUUCUGCCAUCUCUAUGUUGAUCGCAUCACGCCGAAUUCGUCAAAAAACGGAUUCAACUUAAUUGGGAAGGAUCAUUCCUGUACAAUGUAUUUCGAUGUACCUCAGAUGAGCGGCUUUGAAAUUUAUUCUCUUCUGCCAUAAUCUGAUGAUAAAUUUGGUAGUGUAGUCUCCGCCAAUCGGAGAAAUCGUUUUUAUUUACGAGGUCACACUCGCCGUUGAAUAAGGUUUCUUCUAUUUCUGUAACAGGUUGAUUACCGGGUAACGUUCAACCGUCGAACCGUAAUUCGAAGUGUUUUGGCUCAUUAUACCAUUUAAUUUCUCCGACAUAUUCUAUAGUAGCCUCAUCUGCCGUAUUGUUUUCAGACUAUACCCAACGCCAUUGAUCUUUGGCAGUGGUAUCCAAUAUUUCGCCGACUCGGAUGUUAAUGUAUGAUGGAUAUUUUCUUUUCGUAUUUGUUACCCAUGCUAGCACUGUCUUCGAAUCUGUCCAUAAUGUUGCAGAUUUUAUGUCCAGACUUAUUUUUUUUUGAACGACGUCUAAUAGCCUUGUCCCCAUGACUGCCUCAUGGAGUUCCAGACGUGGAAUAGAUAGUGGUUCAAUUGACACAGCUUGUUUUAGCUGUUAUUAACUGCGUAUUGAUUCCAAAGCUUGUUUCAGUUCUAGCAUAUACACAAGCUGCAAGUGCCUUUUCAGAGGUGUCAACGAAAACAUGUAACUUUAUCGGAGCGUGCUCUGUUAGAAUGCAUCUCGGGAUCGAUAAGCCUUCCGCUUGUUUGAGUUUACGUAAGAAGUUCAGCCAUUGAUUAUACAGCUCAUCCGGAACAAGUAUAUCCCAUUGUUUGGAAUAUGUGUGUAGUUCCUGCAUUAGUAUCUUACCAUGCACAACUAAAUGAGAAAUUAGACCCAGUGGAUCGUAAAUACUCAUAAGCAAGGAUAAUACUUGUUUCUUCGUAGGUAUUUCGUCAAUAUUGAAGAUUCCUGCUCCUUUAUCAUUAUGAUUAAAUCGGUAACUUAGCAUGUCUCUACUGGUGUUCCAAUACACACCUAAUACCUUCUCAAUUUGAGAUUUCUUAUCUUGGAACGGUUUUAUAUCAGCGCAUAACCGUCUUGUUACAGGUAUACUUCUCAGCAAUUCAGUAUUAUUCGAAGAGAAGUUUCUAAUAUGGAAGCCUCCUUACUGAUGAAUUUCGGUUACCUUUUGUACAAGCUCCUUUGCCUUUUUUGGAUCCCAAAAACUAUCAACGUAAUCGUCGACGUAAUGUUGUUUUAUUAUUGCAUUUAUGGCUUCAGGAAACUGUUCCAAGUAUCUCUCUGCGUUAUGGUUUUUUACAGCUUGCGCGCAGUACGGUGAACAAGUCGAGCCAAAAGUCAUGACUUGCAUGACGUAAAUAUUCGGUUUUUUACUACUGUUGCAGUCGCGCCAUAAGAAACGUUGCGCAUUUGUCUUCACGGCGUAUUUUCACUUGAUGGAACAUCUCCACAUACAGGUAUUUUUCCUUCUCGAAUUCAUAGAAGAGUCCCAAAUAAUGAAGUCAGUUGAUCUGGACCGGGCAGCAACAUUGAGUUCAAAAAAUACUCCAUUUACUUUUGCAGCUGCGUCGAAAACUUAUCUUGGCUUCGGUGGCAACUUGUUUUGUUGAAAACGAUGAAGUGCGGAAGAUAAUUUAAAGUUGGAAGUUUCGUAGCAAUUCCUGUUGAUUGAGCUUACGAAUAUAUCUUUCUUCUUCUUCUUAGAUUUUUACCCACGGAAGAACUGUUUAAGAGGCUGACCAAAAUACUGUUCUAAUAACGUUCAAUCGUAUUUCGGCCUCAAUAGCGUUUACUGUCUUCAAAGCGUGUUGUUGCAAUUCCGAUGGGUCGAGUUUAUCUAUAGAAUACUUUAGUUUUAUAAUCAUCGAAGGUAUUGGCUUAACUUCAUAUAGUUCAACCUUUCAACGUGUAAUCACUAGCACUUUUUAUAUUUGUGGAUAUCUUCUUAUAAUUUCACUGCCUUUAAUUCACAGGCAGACUUCGGUUACUUCUGACAAUUUUACUUCAAAUUCUCCGCAGAUGAGAAGCUUUUUGUUGUCGCUUUCAAUUCUUCUUAAUGUACUACGGCGAUAGAAUCAUUUUUUUCGCUCAAUAAUUUUUUCUAUAACUUCUAUGUUGAAGAUUUUAACUUUUAUUGAUGUCUCAUCGUUUCUCCAAUUUAAAAACGAAACGCUUGCAAAGUUUGUUGACAGCUUGAUGAAUUUUGAUGUAUUAGGGUUUGUUUUUUAUUUUCCUUCAAAACAUCCAAAUUUGCAACCUUUACGGAAGGUUGCAUAAGUAUUCCUUUAGCAUUCAAAUUAGCAACCGUUGACCUUCAACGGUUCCACCAAUUUAUUCCAUUCACUUCGUUCUUUUGCCGAAGAUUUCAAAUUUAUACGUCUUCGAUUCAAAAAAGUUAACUCUUGAACCUUUUUCCAACGAGUUUUAACAAGUUUGAGAAUCCUCGAUUUAUUAUGCCAUGUAAGUUUUUCAAUAACCUUCUUCGUAGUUUCAUCGACUGAACUUGCAUUGCAUUGUAUCCAGCGCCUUUCUUCGAUGUCUUCCUGAAUUCCAUCAACUUUAACAUUUAUUAGCGAUAUGACGUUCUUGUUAACAUCUUCAUCCUGCGUUGAACAUGUUUUAAAUUUAGUGGAUUCUAGCAUCAUUUUUUUCCUUGUUGAUAUUCUAUUGCAGCUGAAUAUUCCAAUAUGUUCAUCCUUUUGGCCAACUCGUCGUAUCGUGUUCCAAAGCAUGUCUGGAAACUUUCCAAAUUGUUUCACCUUGUCGUUAGGUGAUUCUGCAAUUUCCGACGAAUAUUUUGGGCUUGAGAUACAUCCUAGCAUUUUAAUAUUAUUCGAUAGGAAUUUGCUUUUACUAUUGAACCCAUUUUCAUAGAGGCUCUUGACAGCCGCGCUCAAAAGAUGAUUCUCGAGUUUUAUAUCCGCAUUAUGAUGUUUAACUAUUGCAUUCUCUGCGUAGGAAAAUUCCUCAGGACAUUUAAAACCAUUGCAGCUCCAAAAUUUCAUUGCUGCAUCAAAGAAUACAUUGUCCUUCAUGACAAUUGUAAAAUUUCGACGAAAAUUCAAUAUCAAAUGAUCUUUUAUCAAUUCCACUGAUCGUUGCUUCCGAGUAACGUAGUUAUUCAAAACAUCAUUUCUGGCCACACACUGCUUUAUAGUGUCUAAGUUGUUUUCAGCGUAGUUGUAGCUUACUAUCGGUUUGUUGCGCCUAAUUUUCCAUGGUGAUCCUGGAGCAUAUCUUCCGUUUUUGGAAUUGAUGGCAUCUGCAGGUGAUACUCUCGGUUUAAUAAUGUUACCAGGUCUUCGUUUUAAAACCGAAGGACAUCUCAACAAUUUAUUAUUGUUCGAUGAGAGUUUUAUGCCCUUAUGUUCAUUUACUUGAUGAAUUUUAGGGUCUUUCUUUUUACUUUUGAGCUUCCCUUUUUGAGAGCUUAUCUCUGAUUUUUGGCAAUCUUGAUAGCCUUGUUUUACUGGACAUACUUUAGUGGCAUUAGCUCGUGCAGGUUUCUUUUCCACAAUCUUUGGGGAAUUAACAAGAACCUUUCGCGGUUCUAUUGAUUCUUCAGAAAUGUUUAUUCUUUUAACUGCUUUGAAUGUUUCUUCAUUUCCUUUUAAAGGCUUUGGAUUAGAUUCGUGGUGAUCAACUCUUUGGCGAUUCCCGAAAAUUACAACAGAUGUUGUAUCCUUGUCUUUGAGUGACUGUUCAUCUUGUGCGCUUUUCCUGGCGCACAUAGGAAUUCCUGGCGGUUGUCUUGAUCUCCGCCUCAUUGCAUGCGCUUCAACAUGUGGUUUCAGCCAGUCGUUCAAUUCAUCUAAGUCUUUGACUUGAGACUUUUCCUUAGUCCAACAGAUUUGUAUGCCGAAAGAAAACUUUCCAAUAAUAUCCUCCAUCAGCUGAGGAUUAUUUAAUAGGCGAAUUUCAUUCAUGGCCUUUAUACUAGACACAAAUUUGUCUAGUGCAUUGGAGCAACCCGUUAGAUUCGAAGUCUUACGGAUGUCAUUGAGCAGGUUUUUAUAUUCCAACUCAUCCUCGUACCGGGUGAGUUGAUCCAAACAUUCUGGAUCUGCUAGCCUGUUCUCUCCUGGAACAUGAUUUGCUUCUUCACUAAAGCGAAUCUGUGAUGAUUCAGUCUUCGUUUGAUAAACUGAAUACAUCUUUCUUGCCAUAGUUUCUCCAUGGUCUUUAAAUCUUUGCGAUAUCGUAUCGCUGGUCUUUAAACAUUGCAUUAUUGCAAGACCCAUUUCGAUGUUUGUGCAUUUAACACAAAUCCAUCGUUCCUCAGGUAAUGGUAGCCUUCUAAGGUGUCCACAGUUUAAAUGAAAUCUGCGAUCGCACUCAUCACAUGCGACCAUGUUUUCCUUAGAAUCUUUCUCCUUGCACAAGCGGCAACUACCGUUAGGAUUGUUAACAAAAUAACUCAUCGUUGAGUAAUGAGGGCGGUAGCGGCUUUCUGAUGAUUUUUUCUGUGGCUUCGUAGGGUUGAUCGUCCUGAUGACUUCCAAGGUUGAUCGCCGUAGAAAGAAUCGUCGCAAGGUUGAAAGAAAGGACCGAUACCAACUAGCUCCUCUCUGGAGUGACGCCAAAUGUCGACUUCAGGAGUUUAUCAAGGAGAACGUCUUUCUAUUAAAAGGGUUAGAUUCCUCGGGUUAUCUUAACCGGUGUGCAAAGGUCCUUUUCGCAUUCGAAAGGCUUAAACACACAAGGGACAACCUCUGAAAUCUAGCGUUCGGAUUUAGAAAGAUCUGUGCGAGUUCGUAUUUGCUAGUGGUAUGAUUUUAUUUGGUAGCAAAUCGGGUAUAUAUACAAAAUUUACAAAUUCGAAUCUUAUGAACUAUGCCUACGUAUGGAAGAGAAAAUGAGAGAGAAGAUUCUCCGAAUCUUCGUAAGGGAACAAAUAAGAACGCGACAGAAUUUCCAUUUGCCUAGUCAGGUCAAAUUUGCCUUCCCCUAAUCCGGUACCUGAACGGGAAAAAGGUUUCGAACGUUAUCGGCUUUCUUUACACACGCCUACGACAACAUUCAUUCAGAUAGUUACAAUGUUUACAAAGCGCCGGAUUUGCAUUCCCUAUUUCCCUACUUAAGAUGAUAAUGCGUACGCAGACGCGCCGGCUGAUAAUAGGACUUAUCGCCCUUUUCUUUGAGCAUUACUCGUCCAUAAUUCGCAUAGUCAUUGACGCUGGCUAAACCUAACAGACUAAGAAAACAGAACAGAAAAUAGACCGCUUACGAUUAGUGGCCUCGCACGGAUCUAGAAAUUCUAUACCUGCUUCUAAUCUAGCACCCGCACGAAGGGUCGGUCGGGGAUUAUUUAUGUAGCAAUCUCCUCUAUGACGGGAACCUAUUUGCGAUUAUUAAAUCUAUUCUAAUUCCUUUUAUAAGAACAAUAAUAAAUGAGUUGCUGAAUGACUAUAUUGUCAAGUUCUAAAUAAUGCGUUUGCUACACCAAUCAAACCACAUCCCAAAUAGUCGUCGUUGGAGAUGAUUAUACACCUCUACGAAGAGACAGUUCUAUGUGUGAAACGUAUACACAAAAAUUGACAGCUGUAUACCGAUUUUCAAGAUAUGUUUCAAGCAAUCUACAAUUAAACGCUGCAUAGCAGCGAUAUAAGCAGGAACAUCGAUAUAAAACUGUCACGCACGAAUAAUAUACAACCCCUGGAACCAGUUCCAGCAGUACAUUCACAAAGAUCUGCAACGGUUUUUGAGAGCUAUGAGUUUGUUCAAUCGUUACAGGAUAAUGAUCGCAUGGCACUGAAUUUUCUGCUUGAGCUCUACAAACGUCGUAAAAUAACACGAAAGGAUAUUCUCGAUGUUCAAUCUAGAGUCAGGGACUUGAAUAGUCAUCUUGAAGGCCUCAUCAGUUCAGUAAUAUCGUUUCAAACUAACGACCCACUAACGCGUUUUGUUACUUUUUUUUUAUCUAUGUGUUUUGUUACUGAUAUCUCUCUACAAAAAUUGUCUGCUAUGUUUGAUUUUAUUGAUACAGCGCACAAAUUCUCGAAGUUUCAGAAUCAGAUCUUUUUGAACAGCCAAGAGUUUUUAUCAUUAAGAACAUCAUCAAUUUAAUCUUAAUGGAUAUAGAACUUCAAAUCAAAAAAUUUCUCGAAACCGAAGAUGUAUCAAUAGAUAUAAUUACCAAUAUCAGCGAACUAAUGCAAAUAUGAAAUUGUUAAAACCACUCAGUCCAUAACACUAAAACACAAAGUAUUGUUUGGGAAACUUCGUAGCAGUAAGUCAAAAAUUUAUAGCAGAAUUAUAUCAAAUAAUAGAAUUGCUCAAAUAUUACGCAUAUGCGUCUAGAUGGAAAGUUGACUGUUUAAACAAUUAUUUUUAGGCGUUUGAAAUAGGCAAAAAAGCUAGAUGAAUUUUAUGUCAUUGUUAUGAAUAUUUAAGAUGGAGCACCUUUUACUAUAGAGCAAAUUGAUAAAAAGUAAUGUUUCGCAGGAAAUUGUAUUAAUCUUUUGAUUAAAUAGGAAGCAGAAAACAAAAAUUCAAAAAUUUUUAUAUUGACAUGGUUGAUAAUUCACAAU